rnacentral:rRNA from 1 species
UACGUAGGGGGCUAGCGUUGUCCGGAAUCAUUGGGCGUAAAGAGCUCGUAGGUGGUUUGUCGCGUUGUUCGUGAAAACUCACAGCUUAACUGUGGGCGUGCGGGCGAUACGGGCAGACUGGAGUACUGCAGGGGAGACUGGAAUUCCUGGUGUAGCGGUGGAAUGCGCAGAUAUCAGGAGGAACACCGGUGGCGAAGGCGGGUCUCUGGGCCGUAACUGACGCUGAGGAGCGAAAGCGUGGGGAGCGAACAGG